UACGAAGGGGGCUAGCGUUGUUCGGAAUUACUGGCGUAAAGCGCGCGCAGGCGGCUAUCCAAGUCAGUGGUGAAAGCCCGGAGCUCAACUCCGGAACUGCCAUUGAAACUGUUUAGCUAGAGGACGAGAGAGGUGAGUGGAACUGCGAGUGUAGAGGUGAAAUUCGUAGAUAUUCGCAAGAACACCGGUGGCGAAGGCGGCUCUCUGGGCCUUACCUGACGCUGAGGAGCGAAAGCGUGGGUAGCGAACGAGG
rnacentral:rRNA from 1 species